rnacentral:lncRNA from 1 species
UAAACAAAAAAACUACAUUUUUUUAAUGUAAAAUACAUAUAUUAUAAAUAAAAAGGUGAAAUCUCAUGCAAGAGUACAACCACAUAGAAAUUAAUGUACAAGAAGUACUAAAGUCAAGCAAUAAUAAAAAACAUAGAAUCCCACCCACAGAAAAACAAAAGUAAGAACUAAAACACCAACGGAAAACCAACUAAACUCCUAUCAAGAACCCUCAACCACAGGCUAAAGUUUAGAGUUCGACUCGACUUUUAGUUCGUCGAACUUGGUUCAUGAACCAAAUAAGUUGAGUUUGAGCUGAAAAUUAAAUUCGUUAAAUAAAUGAAUGAGCUUCAACUAUAUAUAAUUUAACUCAUUUGAAAGUUAAGCUCAUUUAGUUCAUGAAUCGACUCGAUUACAAAUAUAUAUUUGCAACAUGUGGCAAAUUUCAAGGGGCAACAUAGAGAGUUAGCACAAAACAAGUCCCACAUCGAAGGUCUUGUAAGCUAACAAAGGUCAAAGUAAAAUAAGCUCUUGUGUUGCAUCCUUCUACGAUGUGUUUUCACUGUCAUUAAAGUGACAUACACAUUCCAUUUUUCACUUGAACAAAGUAGUUUAAUUUUUUUUAAGUUACCACUAUUACGUGAGCACUCGGUUUCUUGAACCAAUUUGUGGUUUGGAAGGGGUUUUUGGGAAUUCUAUAGAUUUGUAUAUCUAAUAUUUGCCUUUUAAAAAUAAUUAAAUUAAAUGGUGAAAAGAUCUAAAAAAAUAUCUCUUUUUUUACAACAAAAGAAAAUAAUUUGAAUUAUGAGUUUCAAGCUAACUAACCGAACCUAACGAGUCGAACUGAGUUGUUCAUGAACUUUUAAUGAGUCGAACUUAAGCCAAAAAAUAGUUCAUAUCGAAUUCGAGUCGAGUUUCGAGCCGAACUAUUUCUUAAAGAGUUGAGUCGAGCUCAGACAAGUUCGACACGAUUCGAUACAUUUCCAGCCCUAACCACAACCGAACAAGAGCAAGACUAGGAACAUAACCCAUCAGUCAACCAAUCCAAGACAAAUCUACCAUAAGUCACUAACGGUGUCAACAUAGAAUGUGUUCAUGAUCCCAAUUAUAGAAGGAACAAGGGUGACCACAAUGUUUUCAUAAAAACCACUUUCAAGAGGAAAAUUUAACAAUAUCCACCAACCGUAGCAGAUCAGUUAAUAUUUGUUAAAAGUGGAGAAAGAAAAGCCCAAUUUUUGCACGUAAUUUAGCCUAGGAUGGUCCUUCCCAACGACUUAGGUUUUCAGAGCCACCCAUGACAACCAAGAAUGAUUCCAUAAUAAAUAAUAAUUAUUUUAACAAUUUUGUUUUAAAAUCAAUACCAAUUUACUUUGUAAAUAUUCUGAUUCGCAUAAUUGACGUGAAUAAAAAAGUAGAAUAAAUUAUGCAAUGAAAUUUUAAAUUUACAUUUUACACGUUCAUAAUAAUGUUCUCACUCCAAUGGUGUAAUAUAUUCAUACAUACCUUUACUAUCACGAAAGGGUAAAAAAUUAGUGAAGGAAAAGAUAAUGAAAAGUUAGCUAAAUUAUAUUUAAUUAUUAUGAUUAUUAAGCUUAUUAUAUGAUUCUAAAAUAACUUAUUGAUAUAUUUAUGAGAUAAUUAGUGAUGAUUCUAAUGUUAUGAAGGGUUUUUAAAAUUUUAUAAUGCUUAAAUCAUUUAAUUAUUUUUAUAAGACCAUAAACUUUAUACAUUAUAAAGAGAUCAAGUCAUUUACUAUUAUUUAGAUGUAAAUAGAAAGAAAAAAAAAUAUGGUUGAAACUUUAAAGUUGGUUUAUGUUCUGAUUCUAUUUUAUUCCAUAUUUCUUGGCAUAAUAGUAUGUAAUUCUUCUGGAAUUACGUAUUUUGACGUUCGUUGUGAAAAAGAUAAAGAUUGUCCAAAACCUCCGAGGAUUAAUAUUAGGAUUAAUAUUAGGUGUCGUAAAGGCUUCUGUGUACAGAUCUGAAACAUACUAAUGAUAUAAAUGAGUUCUUGCUUUAACAAGAUAAUUGUAUGAUAUAUCUUAUGUUAAAAUGUUUCAUUUGUUAUCAUUUAGAUUUUAUGCAUGCACUAAAUAUUUAUUCCUCCUCCUGCUCCUCAAUACUAAUUUCACAUAAUCCUCAUCUUGAAACCAUUAAUUCAAACCAAGUCUUAUCAAAUCCAUUGUUAAUUAUGUUUCAGUCCUCACUGAGAUGAGACAAUAUGAAAAUAUUAUAAUGAAUCAACAAUAAGCAGUAUCAAAAAGAAAUUAAACAAAAAAACUACAUUUUUUUAAUGUAAAAUACAUAUAUUAUAAAUAAAAAGGUGAAAUCUCAUGCAAGAGUACAACCACAUAGAAAUUAAUGUACAAGAAGUACUAAAGUCAAGCAAUAAUAAAAAACAUAGAAUCCCACCCACAGAAAAACAAAAGUAAGAACUAAAACACCAACGGAAAACCAACUAAACUCCUAUCAAGAACCCUCAACCACAGGCUAAAGUUUAGAGUUCGACUCGACUUUUAGUUCGUCGAACUUGGUUCAUGAACCAAAUAAGUUGAGUUUGAGCUGAAAAUUAAAUUCGUUAAAUAAAUGAAUGAGCUUCAACUAUAUAUAAUUUAACUCAUUUGAAAGUUAAGCUCAUUUAGUUCAUGAAUCGACUCGAUUACAAAUAUAUAUUUGCAACAUGUGGCAAAUUUCAAGGGGCAACAUAGAGAGUUAGCACAAAACAAGUCCCACAUCGAAGGUCUUGUAAGCUAACAAAGGUCAAAGUAAAAUAAGCUCUUGUGUUGCAUCCUUCUACGAUGUGUUUUCACUGUCAUUAAAGUGACAUACACAUUCCAUUUUUCACUUGAACAAAGUAGUUUAAUUUUUUUUAAGUUACCACUAUUACGUGAGCACUCGGUUUCUUGAACCAAUUUGUGGUUUGGAAGGGGUUUUUGGGAAUUCUAUAGAUUUGUAUAUCUAAUAUUUGCCUUUUAAAAAUAAUUAAAUUAAAUGGUGAAAAGAUCUAAAAAAAUAUCUCUUUUUUUACAACAAAAGAAAAUAAUUUGAAUUAUGAGUUUCAAGCUAACUAACCGAACCUAACGAGUCGAACUGAGUUGUUCAUGAACUUUUAAUGAGUCGAACUUAAGCCAAAAAAUAGUUCAUAUCGAAUUCGAGUCGAGUUUCGAGCCGAACUAUUUCUUAAAGAGUUGAGUCGAGCUCAGACAAGUUCGACACGAUUCGAUACAUUUCCAGCCCUAACCACAACCGAACAAGAGCAAGACUAGGAACAUAACCCAUCAGUCAACCAAUCCAAGACAAAUCUACCAUAAGUCACUAACGGUGUCAACAUAGAAUGUGUUCAUGAUCCCAAUUAUAGAAGGAACAAGGGUGACCACAAUGUUUUCAUAAAAACCACUUUCAAGAGGAAAAUUUAACAAUAUCCACCAACCGUAGCAGAUCAGUUAAUAUUUGUUAAAAGUGGAGAAAGAAAAGCCCAAUUUUUGCACGUAAUUUAGCCUAGGAUGGUCCUUCCCAACGACUUAGGUUUUCAGAGCCACCCAUGACAACCAAGAAUGAUUCCAUAAUAAAUAAUAAUUAUUUUAACAAUUUUGUUUUAAAAUCAAUAUCAAUUUACUUUGUAAAUAUUCUGAUUCGCAUAAUUGACGUGAAUAAAAAAGUAGAAUAAAUUAUGCAAUGAAAUUUUAAAUUUACAUUUUACACGUUCAUAAUAAUGUUCUCACUCCAAUGGUGUAAUAUAUUCAUACAUAC